GGCGGCAGCGAGCGGCCGCGCCCCCCGCGCUGCCACCCCGCGAGCCCGCAUCAUGGAUGUCGGGCUCUCCUAUUUCGCUUUGCUCGCCUUGGAAUUCGAGACUCCAGACGAGGACCAGGAUUCAUGAGCCGGUCGCAGGGGCCCAGGCAGGGGCCUCUGGCUCCCGACGCUGGCCGAGAGGUGAUGAGUGAGGUCGGAAGAUCGCAAGAUUUAAAAAAGCAACCGGGUCCUCCGUAUUGAAUGAAAGACCCAGUGCAAAGGCAUCACCAUGAACACGAGCAUGUGUGGCUGUGGCCUGGCCCAGUCGGGCUUCUUCUUCAAGAACCAGGAGUACAUCUGCACCCAGGACUACCAGCAGCUCUACGGCACCCGCUGCGACAGCUGCAGGGACUUCAUCACCGGCGAGGUCAUCUCUGCCCUGGGCCGCACCUACCACCCCAAGUGCUUCGUGUGCAGCUUGUGCAGGAAGCCUUUCCCCAUUGGAGACAAGGUGACCUUCAGCGGGAAGGAAUGUGUGUGUCAGACAUGCUCCCAGUCCAUGACCAGCAGUAAGCCCAUCAAGAUCCGCGGACCAAGCCACUGCGCUGGGUGCAAGGAGGAGAUCAAGCACGGCCAGUCGCUCCUUGCGCUGGACAAGCAAUGGCACGUCAGCUGCUUCAAGUGCCAGACCUGCAGUGUCAUUCUCACCGGGGAGUACAUCAGCAAGGAUGGCAUUCCGUACUGCGAGUCCGACUACCACUCCCAGUUUGGCAUUAAAUGCGAGACUUGUGACCGAUACAUCAGCGGCAGGGUCUUGGAGGCAGGAGGGAAGCACUACCACCCGACCUGUGCCCGGUGCGUCCGCUGUCACCAGAUGUUCACGGAAGGAGAGGAGAUGUACCUCACAGGUUCUGAGGUUUGGCACCCCAUCUGCAAACAGGCAGCCCGGGCAGAGAAGAAGUUAAAGCAUAGGCGGACGUCCGAAACUUCCAUCUCACCCCCUGGAUCCAGCAUUGGGUCACCCAACCGAGUCAUCUGCGCUAAAGUGGAUAAUGAGAUCCUUAAUUACAAAGACCUGGCAGCUCUCCCCAAGGUUAAGUCCAUCUACGAGGUACAACGCCCCGACCUCAUUUCCUACGAGCCUCAUUCCAGAUACACGUCCGACGAGAUGCUGGAGAGAUGUGGCUAUGGAGAGUCGCUGGGAACAUUAUCUCCCUACUCCCAGGACAUCUACGAGAACCUGGACCUCCGACAGAGAAGGGCCUCCAGCCCAGGAUACAUCGACUCCCCCACCUACAGCCGGCAGGGCAUGUCCCCCACCUUUUCCCGCUCGCCUCACCACUACUACCGCUCUGGGCCCGAGAGUGGCCGGAGCUCUCCAUACCAUAGCCAGUUAGAUGUGAGGUCCUCCACUCCGACCUCUUACCAGGCUCCCAAGCACUUUCACAUCCCAGCUGGAGAAAGUAACAUCUACCGGAAACCCCCGAUCUACAAACGGCAUGGUGAUCUGUCAACAGCAACCAAGAGCAAAACAAGUGAAGACAUCAGCCAGGCUUCCAAGUACAGUCCAGCCUACUCACCGGACCCCUACUAUGCUGCAGAGUCCGAGUUCUGGACCUACCAUGGGUCCCCCAAAGUGCCCCGAGCCAGAAGGUUCUCAUCUGGAGGAGAGGAGGACGAUUUUGACCGCAGCAUGCAUAAGCUCCAGAGCGGAAUCGGCCGCCUGAUUCUGAAGGAGGAGAUGAAGGCCCGGUCCAGCUCCUACGCGGAUCCCUGGACCCCACCCCGGAGCUCCACCAGCAGCCGGGAGGCCCUGCACACAGCUGGCUAUGAGAUGUCCCUCAAUGGCUGCCCUCGGUCCCACUACCUGGCUGACAGCGAUCCCCUCAUCUCCAAAUCCGCCUCCCUGCCUGCCUACCGAAGGAACGGGCUGCACAGGACACCCAGUGCAGACCUCUUCCACUAUGACAGCAUGAACGCCGUCAACUGGGGCAUGCGAGAGUACAAGGUAAAGGAGACACAGAGACUCUGGGGGUCUCUGAGACCCCGGAUGCUGCUACAUUGGGACCCAGCAGGAAGAUGACAGCACUGUCUACACAGGAAAUGGACCAUCAAAUAAAUAACAUCAAGGGUCCUCUUCAGACCAGCAUUUCCAGUCCCUCCUUGGCCUCCUUUCCCUGAAUUCUGCCCUAUGUCUCUUGCCCACUAAAAUCAGACAAUUCCCUGUGGGACUCAGAGACUUUCUGGAGGCUUGCCAAUCAUCAGACAUUAGACAUUUACAAUUAGGAGGCCUUAGGCCACAUUAAUGUCAAAUGCCACCAAGCUCAUUCCUAGCAGUAUUAGGGGACUCGGGUUUUGCCUUUGGGGAGAAGGUACUUUGAGGCCUCCAGGCACCCCCAAGGAGAAUAGACGCAGCCCUUCCUCCAGACUUUCAUCUCUGGCCCUGUCUGGGGAGAGGAGGUGCCCAGACACAAAAUGUGGCUGGAGGGACAAGCCCACCACCUUCAGCCAGCCUGGUGCCUCACCCCCACCCCAUCCUCUCUCCCCAGAUCUACCCUUAUGAGCUGCUGCUGGUGACCACAAGAGGAAGAAAUCGGCUGCCCAAGGAUGUGGACCGGACACGUUUAGAGCGCCACCUGUCCCAGGAGGAGUUCUACCAGGUCUUCGGCAUGACCAUCUCUGAGUUUGACCGGCUGGCCCUCUGGAAGAGGAACGAACUGAAGAAGCAGGCCCGGCUGUUCUAGGCAGGGGCUCUAUAAAUAUAUAUGCAUUUAUAUAAAGAUAUAUGUAAAAUCUCUAUCCUGAAGCUCGGUAUAAUCCUCUCUUGUGUAACAGGACACACUGCCUGCCAUGAGACUUGCUUUUCUGUACUGUCAGGCAAGCCCACGUCAUCGAGAUAUUUUUAUGCUCCUUACUUUAUCUUUUCUAAGUGCUCUGGGGUUUGGGAAGGGAUUUGAGGAGACUCCCAUCCUUUUACUGGGGAUCCUUUUUAUACUGAAACAUCUGUCCUAACCUGAGUCCCCCAAGGUCCAACUCUCUUUCCUAAAGGAGGUGCCUGAAGAAGUCUCUCUUCUCUCUGCUUCUCGGCUCCUUCCCCAGUCUCCAGGGUGGAUGCUGACCAUGCAGUUUUCACACCUUACUGGCCCCAAAGGGGCCCUCACACGGGAGGAUCCACAGUGAUCUCCCAAAGUCACUGAGCACCUUUGAGAGCCCGUGAAAAAUUUUCUCAUCUCCCGCAGUUAGGAGUUCAGUGCUCUCUGGGGGGUGAUGCACUUCGCCGUGGGGGCCUCGGAUCUACUCAAUACAGCAGCAAACAGAAAUGGCUAGGGCCUUGGCCUCUCUGAAGCUCCUCAGUCCUCCUCCUUCUGCCCUGGAUCCUAACCUCUCCCUUGUCCAAGUCUCAUGGUAGGAGAAGACAAGGCACUUCCCUUCCCCCCACCACUUCCAACUGGCCCCUUUGCCUGGCCCCGACAUGGAGACAAGGGAAGGCAUGGGAGCUGGCAGCAGGGGCCAGAGCAGGGCACCUGUUAGCACUGGAGCUGCAGGACCUCUUGCAACCCUCCGCUCGCCCUCACUGCUCCCAGCACCUCCUGACCCUUCCGCCCCACUUUGGAGGAGAGGCCCACUAUUACAGCCCGUAUUCUUCAGCCUUACUACGAUCUAUGUGCCUGACAACUCAAUACACCACAGGGCUAACGUUCCCAUCAUAGCUCCAACAGAACAACUAGACAGACAACCUCUAACACCCCUCUAAACAUAAUACAGGCCACGUCCCAAAGAAAGCUUCCUGGUCUAUGCCCGCUGGUCCCUGAGCUAGAAGGGCAACUGAACCAGUCCCCCACCAGUCAUCAGCUCCCACUUCAAAGUUGGCCGUGUUUCAUAGGGGAAAUCUUUGGAAGAAUGGCUGCUUAUGGAAUUCCAAAAUGAAGCAGUGGCCAACACUGCUCAUGAUCACCCUGGUUUUCCCCGGUGGCUGCUUUCCUGCCCUCUUGCCUUCUUGAACAGGGAUGAAAGCUUGACGUUAACUUCUCUCCUCCUUUCCCCAAACCUUUGACCCCCAGUUGGUGAUGUUUGGUGGGGUCUGUUCCUUCUUGGAGAUGCCUUGAUGUAGAUCAUUUUAAGGUCAUAGGGGGAAGAUGAAGAAGUGGAAAUAUGGAAAUAACCAUUAGGACUCUCAAGAGGCUGGUGAUGUAACGUGGCAAAUAGAGAACAGAUUCCAAUCCAGCAAACCCUCACUGAGCACCUGCCGAUGCUGAGCACCUGCUGUAUCCUGAGCACUGAAUGGGGGAGGGAGAUGGGGACACUGAGAUGAUCAACACAGGAUCUGGGCUGGGGGGCAUGCCUGCUAACCCUGGGUGUCGUCAGGCAUGGACUCACACAUGAUGGAUGCAAGGCAGGAAGUGAUGGGAGGUGGCAUGAGAACGUGUUUGUGAAAUUACUGAGAAAGCAGAUGCAAGUUGGUGCAGACCAAGGAAUACUUUCUGGAAGAGAUUGCAUUUGAGCAAAGUUCAGGAAGGAUCUUUGUAAACUGAAAGGAGACUGUAACUUGAAAGGGUGAUAGGAUGAGGGGCCAGAAGGAGGUCUAAUAUACUCUCAUUUAAAACAUCAACCCUCUCUGCAACUCUCUUUUUGGCCAGUGUCUUUCAACUGUCCUGACCCCUUAGAAAUGUCCCCAGCCAGACGCAAUCAUCAAAACUGCCUCAUUUUCACUGGUUGAGAACUUGGCAAGAUGAAGGGCUUUUGUUAUUGUUGUUGGGUAUUUUUGUUUCCCAUAAAAGCACAUAAUUUCAACCCA